rnacentral:ncRNA from 1 species
CAACAAGCCAACGGGGGCUCGCACCAGCGGGCUGAGAGGACGGCUAGGGCCGUCGACCGUAUGAACCUGACCGGGUAAUGCCGGCGUAGGGAGGAAGCAUCAUGGGCAC